GAUGAAGAACGCAGUGAAAUGCGAUAAGUAGUGUGAAUUACAGAAUUCAGUGAAUCAUCGAAUCUUUGAACGCACAUUGCGCCCUUUGGUAUUCCUUAGGGCAUGCCUGUUCGAGCGUCAUUUAAACCUUCAAGCUCAGCUUGGUGUUGGGUGACUGUCCGCUUCACCGCGGACUCGCCUCAAAAUUAUUGGCGGCCGGUACAUUGGCUUCGAGCGCAGCAGAAACGCGAACUCGGGCCCGUCGUAUUGGCUCCCAGAAGCUAUCUUCACAAUUUUGACCUCGGAUCAGGUAGGGAUACCCGCUGAACUUAAGCAUAUCAAUAAGCGGAGGA
rnacentral:misc_RNA from 1 species